rnacentral:rRNA from 1 species
UACAGAGGUCUCAAGCGUUGUUCGGAAUCACUGGGCUUAAAGCGUGUGUAGGCGGACGGGUAAGUACCUUGUGAAAUCCCACGGCUCAACCGUGGAACUGCUGGGUAUACUGCCUGUCUUGAGUCAUCUAGGGGCGAGCGGAACAAAUGGUGGAGCGGUGAAAUGCGUAGAUAUCAUUUGGAACGCCAAUGGUGAAAACAGCUCGCUGGGGAUGUACUGACGCUGAGACACGAAAGCCAGGGGAGCAAACGGG